rnacentral:rRNA from 1 species
GAUGAACGCUGGCGGCGUGCCUAAUACAUGCGAGUCGAGCGAACGGACGAGAAGCUUGCUUCUCUGAUGUUAGCGGCGGACGUGUGAGUAACACGUGGAUAACCUACCUAUAAGACUGGGAUAACUUCGGGAAACCGGAGCUAAUACCGGAUAAUAUUUUGAACCGCAUGGUUCAAAAGUGAAAGACGGUCUUGCUGUCACUUAUAGAUGGAUCCACGCUGCAUUAGCUAGUUGGUAAGGUAACGGCUUACCAAGGCAACGAUGCAUAGCCGACCUGAGAGGGUGAGCGGCCACACUGGAACUGAGACACGGUCCAGACUCCUACGGGAGGCGGCAGUAGGGAAUCUUCCGCAAUGGGCGAAAGCCUGACGGGGCAACGCCGCGUGAGUGAUGAAGGUCUGCGGAUCGUAAAACUCUGUUAUUAGGGAAGAACAUAUGUGUAAGUAACUGUGCACAUCUUGACGGUACCUAAUCAGAAAGCCACGGCUAACUACGUG